UAUUUUGGGUAAUCGCUAUAAAUUAAUUUUUAUAGAGGAAAGUCCAUGCUCACACAGUCUGAGAUGAUUGUAGUGUUCGUGCUUGAUGAAACAAUAAGUCAAGGCAAUGCAAAUUGACGGCAACGAAUUAACCUAAGUCUUUUGAUAGGGUUAUAGUAGUUUGAAAGUGCCACAGUGACGUAGCUCUGAUAGAAAUAGCAGAGGUGGAACGCGGUAAACCCCUCGAGUGAGCAAUCCAAAUUUGGUAGGAGCACUCGUUUAGCGGAAAUGAACGCAUAAACGAGAAUGUAUGUUAAUCAUACUUUAGACAGAUGAUUACCACCGGCGUACCAGUGUAACUAGUGCACGUAUGAGUACUAUGGAACAGAACAUGGCUUAUAGAA
rnacentral:RNase_P_RNA from 1 species